rnacentral:piRNA from 1 species
AGGAAGAUUCUCUGAUUAAGGCU